UUGUAAUGAGGAUUUCCCUUCGGGGACACGAAGACAGGUGUUGCAUGGUUGUCGUCAGCUCGUGUCGUGAGAUGUUAGGUUAAGUCCUGCAACGAGCGCAACCCUCAUAUACAGUUGCCAAUAUUAAGUUAGGAACUCUGUAUAGACUGCCGUGGUUAACACGGAGGAAGGUGGGGAUGACGUCAAAUCAUCACGGCCCUUACGUCCUGGGCUACACACGUGCUACAAUGGCUAUUACAAAGAGUAGCGAUACAGUAAUGUGGAGCGAAUCUCAAAAAGAUAGUCUCAGUUCGGAUUGUGGGCUGCAACUCGCCCACAUGAAGUCGGAGUUGCUAGUAAUCCCGAAUCAGCAUGUCGGGGUGAAUGCGUUCCCGGGUCUUGUACACACCGCCCGUCACGCCAUGGGAGUUGGGAGUGCCCAAAGUCACUGACUUAACCGCAAGGGGAGAGGUGCCUAAGGUAAUACCAAUGACUGGGGUGAAGUCGUAACAAGGUAGCCGUAUCGGAAGGUGCGGCUGGAUC
rnacentral:rRNA from 1 species